rnacentral:rRNA from 1 species
AUUGAACGCUAGCGGGAUGCUUUACACAUGCCAGUCGAACGGCAGCGCGGACUUCGGUCUGGCGGCGAGUGGCGAACGGGUGAGUAAUGUAUCGGAACGUGCCCAGUAGCGGGGGAUAACUACGCGAAAGCGUAGCUAAUACCGCAUACGCCCUACGGGGGAAAGCAGGGGAUCGUAAGACCUUGCACUAUUGGAGCGGCCGAUAUCGGAUUAGCUAGUUGGUGAGGUAACGGCUCACCAAGGCGACGAUCCGUAGCUGGUUUGAGAGGACGGCCAGCCACACUGGGACUGAGACACGGCCCAGACUCCUACGGGAGGCAGCAGUGGGGAAUUUUGGACAAUGGGGGCAACCCUGAUCCAGCCAUCCCGCGUGUGCGAUGAAGGCCUUCGGGUUGUAAAGCACUUUUGGCAGGAAAGAAACGUCGCGGGCUAAUACCCCGUGGAACUGACGGUACCUGCAGAAUAAGCACCGGCUAACUACGUG